UACGGAGGAUCCAAGCGUUAUCCGGAUUUAUUGGGUUUAAAGGGUGCGUAGGCGGAUUAGUAAGUUAGAGGUGAAAGCUCGGGGCUCAACUCCGGAACUGCCUCUGAUACUGCUGAUCUAGAGAGUAGAUGCGGUAGGCGGAAUGUAUGGUGUAGCGGUGAAAUGCUUAGAGAUCAUACAGAACACCGAUUGCGAAGGCAGCUUACCAAACUAUAUCUGACGUUGAGGCACGAAAGCGUGGGGAGCAAACAGG
rnacentral:rRNA from 1 species